rnacentral:lncRNA from 1 species
AAUACUAUAAGGGCAAAAACGUUAAAAUCAAAUUACAUUUCUUUCCACAAAGAAGUCUACUUCAGAUUUCUUCAUCAUAUUCCCUUUAUACCACCGCCCACCACCACUCCUAGCCAGAUCAUCUUCUAUACACGCAUGACAGAGAAUACAUUUUAAAGAAUUAGAGCGUGCAUCGAUCUCAAACCAACACCAAUUUACAAGUUAGUCUACAAGCCCAAAUCCAUCGACGAGUUAAUCGGACCAUCGACAACGAGUACACUCAGAUUGACGAAAAGCAGCGCCAUCGACUCCAAGUUGAAGAGGAAAGAGAAGAAAAAUUGCUAGUAAACCAAAUUAAUAGACUACAAAGCUACCCUUGAAACGAGAUUUCACCACCAUAUUCUUUUUUUUUCGAUUACAGAUGGGGUUUGUGGCUAGCUCUUUGAUCGGCGGUUAGUAGCGGUAAUAGAGUGAAAGAUGACUGUAGAUGAUGGUGGUGAGGUCAGGGUUCAAGAGGCUCCACCCACCGAUCCACCUUAUAACUCGCCCCUGCACUGUAUCUCUCUUUAUUGUUGCAAUGGUUGGAGUUAGGUAUUCCAAACACUCCUGUUUUGAUGAUUCCAAGUUUAAAAGUUUUAGAUGAUGAAUUGUCUGCUUUGCAAGGAUACAAAUUUGAAUUUUAGGGUUUUUGAUUUGGGAAUUUUAAUUGAAAGAAGACUGAUCAUUCUUCACUCUAAUUUUUAUUUUGAUUUAGACUUAUUUUUUGUUUUGUUUUUAUGUUUAGUUAUUAAUAUAUAUUAUUAAUAAGAAAUGUUUUAGAGUUAAGUUAACUAAUUAGACUUGAUUUAAAUUUGAUUUUAUGCUGAUUAGUUAAUUAAUUUGAUUUUGUCUUGACUUAAUGUAUGGGAAAUUGUUUUGGUUUUAUUAAUUUUAGUUAUGUUGUAUUACACUUUUGCCCUU